CGCUGAGUGAGCUCUGCUGCCUUUUCUGCUACCCGCCCUGCCCCGGCCGCAUCGCUGCCAAGCUCGCCUUCCUGCCGCCGGAGGCCACCUACUCCCUGGUGCCUGAGCCCGAGUCGGGGCCUGAUGGGGCCGGGGCCGCCCCCUUGGGGACCCUGCGGGCCUCCUCGGGCGCACCCGGGCGCUGGAAGCUGCACCUGACGGAGCGCGCCGACUUCCAGUACAGCCAGCGCGAGCUGGACACCAUCGAGGUCCCCACCAAGAGCGCCGAGGUGGCCGAGGACUUGUCCACUCCCAAGGGAAGGUGCUGGUGGGAGGGGGUGCCACCUCCGCAGCCACCACCCUCGAUGCUGACCUGGGUUGCACUGGCAUCUCAUUGGGCGUGGGGACUCCGAGAGUCCAAAAUUGGGUGGAGACAUUUGGGGACACAGCUGCCUGAAUUCCUCAUGGCCAAGGGGGUGGGCAAGGGCUGCAGGGAGGAAGAGUGUCCGCUGUCCUGGCCAGUGGACCAGGAACGGCUUUCUAACCCGGGCAGGAAGGCGUGAAGCAUUCAGGAUGUGGGGGACACACAGUUCCCAGUGUGCACCUAGGGGUGACCAGGAGGAGAGGUGCCAGGGCCUCCCCUACCCCCGCCCCAGGGGCACUCUGUAGGCGGGAUCCCUGCAGAUCCUAGCUAGGAAACGCCAGUGAACGGCAGCGCCAGGGAAUGGGGCGGGGCGCUGGCUUCGCCCACCGCCGCGGUGAUGUGGACCCCCCGGGCGGCCCAAGGGACCCCGUCCCGACCCAGG
rnacentral:lncRNA from 1 species